GAGUUUGAUCCUGGCUCAGGACGAACGCUGGCGGCGUGCCUAAUACAUGCAAGUCGAGCGGAAUGAUGAAGAAGCUUGCUUCUUCUGAUUUUAGCGGCGGACGGGUGAGUAACACGUGGGCAACCUACCUUGUAGAUUGGGAUAACUCCGGGAAACCGGGGCUAAUACCGAAUAAUCCAUUUUGCUUCAUGGCGAGAUGUUAAAAGGCGGCUUCGGCUGUCACUACGAGAUGGGCCCGCGGCGCAUUAGCUAGUUGGUAGGGUAAUGGCCUACCAAGGCGACGAUGCGUAGCCGACCUGAGAGGGUGAUCGGCCACACUGGGACUGAGACACGGCCCAGACUCCUACGGGAGGCAGCAGUAGGGAAUCUUCCACAAUGGACGAAAGUCUGAUGGAGCAACGCCGCGUGAGUGAAGAAGGUUUUCGGAUCGUAAAACUCUGUUGUAAGGGAAGAACACGUACGAGAGUAACUGCUCGUACCUUGACGGUACCUUAUUAGAAAGCCACGGCUAACUACGUGCCAGCAGCCGCGGUAAUACGUAGGUGGCAAGCGUUGUCCGGAAUUAUUGGGCGUAAAGCGCGCGCAGGCGGUCCUUUAAGUCUGAUGUGAAAGCCCACGGCUCAACCGUGGAGGGUCAUUGGAAACUGGGGGACUUGAGUACAGAAGAGGAAAGCGGAAUUCCAAGUGUAGCGAUGAAAUGCGUAGAGAUUUGGAGGAACACCAGUGGCGAAGGCGGCUUUCUGGUCUGUAACUGACGCUGAGGCGCGAAAGCGUGGGGAGCAAACA
rnacentral:rRNA from 1 species